rnacentral:tRNA from 1 species
GGAUUUAGGGUUCAGGUAGAGCAUUUGACUGCAGAUCAAGAGGUCACCGAUUCGAACCCGGUUGGGCCCU